rnacentral:lncRNA from 1 species
UUUAUAUUGAUGUGAGGUCGCCCAAUGGGACAACACAUGGUGUUCUGCUUCUUAACAGCAAUGGCAUGGAUGUCGUUUAUACUGGUGACAGGAUUAGUUACAAGGUUACUGGAGGGAUUAUUGAUUUGUAUUUUUUUGCCGGACCUUCGCCGGAUUCAGUCAUACAACAAUAUACAGAGUUAAUUGGUCGGCCUGCCCCUAUGCCAUAUUGGUCCUUUGGUAUCUUUUCUGUGAAUACCUGCUUACUUUGUUUUGAUAAGUUACGCUAAUACUUAUACACAAUUUAAUCAUUCUCUAUGUUGCAAUACGAUGGAUUGGAGUAAAUUAUUCGAAAAUUUCUUCAUUUUUGCCAUACAUUUGUUUGAGAUUAUACUAUACGGGUUGUACUUGUUGGCCACUUACCAUCAUGAGUUAUACAUUGUAGAGUAAGUUUGAGAAAAAGAAAAUAUAAAGUAUCCUUUCUUAUUUUACUUAGGCCUGUCUGUCAUUGUGGUUGGGUAACUAUAGGUUAAAAGUUACGGCACUAAAAUAUUUAGUACAUAUUAACUGUUGUGGCUUAGAAGUUAAGCUGAUUUAAUAUGCCGCUUGUAUAAUGAAAAACCUAAAAUAUCUUUAUUAUUUUUGUCAAAAUGAUUAUUUACUACGUACUAUUAAUUUUUAUUUCAUAAUCACAAUUAUUAUAACUUAAAAACUAUGGCACCUCACUACCAAACUAAGGCCUUAGUUACCUUAUUAACAAAUCAAAUAUAGAGUCACCACAAUUUGAUUUACUAGCUUUGAUAAGUUAUUCAUUCUGAAGUAUUCUUCUAUCUGCCUUGAGAUAAAUUUAUUUUCUUGGUGUAUAACUCUUCUAAGCUAGGUUUCCAGUUAACCAAAGGUGACGGCAUGACCAAUUAUUUCGUUCUUCCCAAUUUGAUUUUCACGUUGUCUUAAUGCACAGGAUUUCAUCAGUGUCGAUAUGGUUACGAAAACGUGUCCGAUCUUAAAGCUGUGGUUGCUGGCUAUGCAAAAGCUGGCAUCCCUCUUGAAGUUAUGUGGACAGAUAUUGAUUACAUGGAUGGAUAUAAGGAUUUCACUCUGGAUCCCAUCAACUUUCCAGUGAACUCAAUGCAAAAUUUUGUAAAUACACUCCAUCAAAAUGGACAGAGAUAUGUGCUCAUCUUGGAUCCUGGUAUGUAGUUAUAGAAAAUGAAUUAUCUUACUGCAGAAACAUUUUUUCAGUUUAUUUAUCGUGUCGAUCAAUAAGCCGGAUUAGAGCUCAUUUGUCACAAUAUCCUUUAUAUUUUCCCUUAAAAUAAUUCACUGAACACUAAAGUUUGUCGUAAUAUCUUACAAUGAGUAAGUAAUAUGUAUCACAGUAUACACUAAACGAUAUAAAGUUAUAAACUAUGAUUUGUGGUGAAAUGAUCUAUUCUUAUGUACGAAUUAUACGAAACAUUUUGAUAUAAUCGUCCAAAUUAUAGUAAAAAAAGAAACGCUAGCUUUUGAGGUAACCUAAGAAGUGUCUUGCCGGUUAACUUUCACUACCUAUUUUUCACCUAAUCUUUAGCUCCCUUUUCCUCUCCGACACAUACCCUCAAAUAUAUAGGGGGGUGGGGGAACAUUUUGUUUGUUAUUUUUUAUUUAAACUGGUAGGUUUUUAACCUAAAAUGUUAUAAAUUUUUGGUUUGAGUAAUUAUUUCAUUACUAUGGUACCAAAACAUCCCUAAUAUAUGUGUGUAUAUUUGCUAAUUACUAUGAAAGCUCUAGACAUAAAAUAAAAUAUAAAAAAAGAAAAGAAAAGAAAACUUGAAAAGGCCAGAACAUACAUUAUCCAUCAUAAAUCUUGCCCAAGCCUAAUACAAACUUUGUUUUAAGAAAUCAAUUUACAUUUUAGCAUAGAAAUCAUUAAUUUACAUCUUUAAUUUCUGCUGAAAAAUCAUGAAUAUCUUUCAUUAACCUUUAUUUUCAUUUCAAAGUUUGAAAUUUUUUUUUUUUAAUAAAGGCAUUAGAUAAAAUUAUAAAUAUUUUUAAAUAAAUUCAUCGACACCUCUUUUUCUUAUCUUAAGGUGGAGCGUUAUUUAAAUCUCUCCAACAUGUAAUUGUGAAAAAUGAGCUUCUACAAUUUUAUAUAUUGCGUUUCUCUUUAUAUAUUUAUAUAUUUAUAUAUUUAUAUAUUUAUAUUUAUAUUUAUAUUUAUAUGGACUUUUGCAUUAAAUUUUAGUUGUGAUUUAUACUUACCCUCAUAGUUAUAUUGUACACAAUAUAUAAAAAGAAAAAAGGAAAUUUAAAUUUUGACAAAGUGCCAUUUUGUUAUAUAAAUUUUACUAGAUAAUAAGAGAAAGUACAUAUGCUUAAUUUUUUUUUUAAAAUUUCGGAAAUACAUAUACUUUGCAUUCGGGUUUUGUGCAAACUAUAUAUGUGAUAAAAAAAUUUGGUCAUCAACAUCAGAUAACAUUAGAACAUCACUCUUUGCAGAUAAUAAUCAUAAAAUUAAUUUAUCAUUAUUAAAUUAAUAAUAAUAUUAAUUUUAUUAUUUUAGUUAUUAUUAAUUAUUUGUAUUAUUAUUUUUAUUAAUAUUAUCAUUAUUAUCAUUUAUUAUUAUUAAUUUUAUUUUUUUAAUUAAAAUUAUUUUUAUAAUAAUAUUUACACAUGUAUCUAGUUAAUGAAAAUUACAUUAUUUAAUACUAUGAGUAUUUUGGUAAAUUGACUCUCAUUCUCAUUCCUCAUUCCCAUUUAUUUUGCUAAGUAAACACAUUAAAGACAUUCCUGCACAUUCUCAUUCUCAUUUAUUUUUUGUAAGUAAAUAUUGGAAUCUCAUUCUUAUUCCAACUCAUUCUAUAUAGUAAACGCAUCAUAAAAAUGAAGAUUUCAUAACUAUUUUUAGGGGUGUUCACGAAUUGAAUUUUACGGAUUGGAUAUCAAUCCAUAUCGAAUCCACGAUUUUGCGGAUUAUAAAUUUUUAAUCAAAUCCAAUCCAUGGAUUAGUGAAAUUCAAUCCAAAUGUCUGUAGAUCAGAUGCAGAUUUAACCUAAUCUACCAUUUUAUAGAUUGGUUUGCAAGCUAAAACUUUUUAAUCAUAUCCUAUCCACGAACUAACUAAAUAAAAAAAUUAAUAUAAAAAUAAUUUUACUAUCAAUCAAAUUUAAAAUUAAAUAAGAUUUAAAUAAAUUAGUUGUUUAAAUAAAAUUAAAAAAUACAUUCAAAGUUUUAAAAUAUAACACACCAAAAAGAAAAAAAUUUCAAAGUUUUGUUUAGAUCAGUACAUGAAAAUUAACUGCCUGGAAGCUAUAUUUUUUAUUUAAUUAUUGUUAUUUUAUAUUAUUAUCGGAUAAGACAUAAUAUGAUGUUAAUUUAACUAUAUUUUAACUUAUUUAUUUAUUAAUAAGUAUAAUAUCAUAUUUAUAAGUUUAAUUUUUCUAUUAAAUAAAUAUUUUUUAUAUUUUUUUACUGAUUCCCAAAUUUUUACGGAUUCACAAAAGUAAAUCUAUAUUUAAUCCACCGACUGCGGAUUUUUAAAUUUUCAAUUCAAUCUAAUCCAUCAAUCCACGAAUUAAAUUUGUACAGAUCGAAUUUAUACGGAUUAGACUGAUUGAGCGGAUCCGAUUAAAUUCUAAACACUCCUGACUAUUUUAGUCAACUUUGCUUCGUCACUGUUUGGCUGUCUGGGUAACUGAUAAGGGUCCUUCUAUCUUACAUGCAUGUAAGAUAUAUUCCUCUCACAUGAAUAGUGUGUGGGUCCCACACAUAUACUAUUCAUGUGAGGGGGAUGUAUCUUACAUGCAUGUAAGAUAGGGUUUGCCAACUGAUAAUAGAUAAAAGUCAAAAUAAGAGACAAGAGUUAUAAUUGGCCAUUUCAAGCUCAAAGUGUAAACGUGCCCAGUGCCAAUUCGAAGUUUGAAAAGAAACGUGGGUUAAGUGGACUCUAUCAUCUUAGAAAAAAUGAAGAAACCAGAAAAAAUGAAGAAACCAGAAAAAACUGCUGCUGCUUCUUAUCAUCAACAUCUUUCAUUAUUACUUUUAUUUCUCUAUUGCAUUUUUGUAGCUGCAGAGAAAGAUUCAGUUGGGUAUGGCUACUCUGUUCGAUCAGUCGCUGUUGACUCCUCACUGAAGUCGUUGACUGCUGGACUUGGCCUCAUCAGGUCCUCCUCUGUUUACGGACCUGAUAUUCAGAGCCUCAAUCUUUUUGCCAGGUUUUAAAAUUUACAACUUAAUUGUUCCUUGCUUUUAUGUAUUGUUCACUGACUGUUGGACUAAGCAGUCAGCGAGAAAGACUUGUUUCAAGUUCUAAAUUCGAUAAGCUAGUGAUUUUUGAUGAUUUUUGGUUUGUGACUCUAAGAUUGAUUGAUCUGAUUAUGCUCUGUUUCCCUUCAGCUUUGAGACAAAAGACCGUUUGAGAGUUCGAAUAACAGAUUCCAAAAAACAAAGAUGGGAAAUCCCGCAGGAAAUCAUCCCCCGCCAAUCCUAUUGCACUCACUGCUGGCUGCCGGAAAACAGACUAAACUCACCGGUAAACCACCAAACAGGGCCGGGAAACCACUUCCUCUCCGACCCCACCUCAGACUUAGUCUUCACCCUCCACACCACCCCAUUUGGCUUCUCGGUCAAACGGCGAUCCUCCGGCGACAUUCUUUUCGACACAUCACCUGAAACCUCACACUCUGACACUUUCUUGGUGUUUAAGGAUCAAUACAUUCAACUCUCUUCAGCAUUACCAAUAGAAAGGUCUCAUCUGUAUGGAAUUGGAGAGCACACAAAGAAAUCAUUCAAGUUGACUCCCAAUGACACUCUAACUUUGUGGAAUGCUGACUUGGCCUCAGCAAAUGUUGAUGUUAAUCUCUAUGGCUCUCAUCCUUUUUAUAUUGAUGUGAGGUCGCCCAAUGGGACAACACAUGGUGUUCUGCUUCUUAACAGCAAUGGCAUGGAUGUCGUUUAUACUGGUGACAGGAUUAGUUACAAGGUUACUGGAGGGAUUAUUGAUUUGUAUUUUUUUGCCGGACCUUCGCCGGAUUCAGUCAUACAACAAUAUACAGAGUUAAUUGGUCGGCCUGCCCCUAUGCCAUAUUGGUCCUUUGGUAUCUUUUCUGUGAAUACCUGCUUACUUUGUUUUGAUAAGUUACGCUAAUACUUAUACACAAUUUAAUCAUUCUCUAUGUUGCAAUACGAUGGAUUGGAGUAAAUUAUUCGAAAAUUUCUUCAUUUUUGCCAUACAUUUGUUUGAGAUUAUACUAUACGGGUUGUACUUGUUGGCCACUUACCAUCAUGAGUUAUACAUUGUAGAGUAAGUUUGAGAAAAAGAAAAUAUAAAGUAUCCUUUCUUAUUUUACUUAGGCCUGUCUGUCAUUGUGGUUGGGUAACUAUAGGUUAAAAGUUACGGCACUAAAAUAUUUAGUACAUAUUAACUGUUGUGGCUUAGAAGUUAAGCUGAUUUAAUAUGCCGCUUGUAUAAUGAAAAACCUAAAAUAUCUUUAUUAUUUUUGUCAAAAUGAUUAUUUACUACGUACUAUUAAUUUUUAUUUCAUAAUCACAAUUAUUAUAACUUAAAAACUAUGGCACCUCACUACCAAACUAAGGCCUUAGUUACCUUAUUAACAAAUCAAAUAUAGAGUCACCACAAUUUGAUUUACUAGCUUUGAUAAGUUAUUCAUUCUGAAGUAUUCUUCUAUCUGCCUUGAGAUAAAUUUAUUUUCUUGGUGUAUAACUCUUCUAAGCUAGGUUUCCAGUUAACCAAAGGUGACGGCAUGACCAAUUAUUUCGUUCUUCCCAAUUUGAUUUUCACGUUGUCUUAAUGCACAGGAU